rnacentral:lncRNA from 1 species
GUUUCCAGCCUGAAGCAGGAGAUGACCAAACAGAAGAUCGAGUAUGAGUCCAGGAUAAAAAGGUGAGAAAACUUGGAAGUCAUAUCAUCCGAGGGUGAUAUCGGUGACAUUAGUACUAAGUCUUUGGGGACCAAAUAAACCACACGCGGGUGGUCUGAGCCUAACUUCUCCCUUUACCAUUUUCCAGCUCUGGAAAUUUGGGGAACUUAGGCUAAUUACCUGGAACUUGGAAUUCUUAAUGGGAAAAUUUUAAAGAUAUUCCCUCAAAAGCACGCAAAAGGUCACUGAGCCUUGUUUCCGACAUGGCAUCAGGCCCUCCUCAAUGAUUAUUGAAUAUCUAUUUCUGUAUUUGAGAGACCCCGGGGACAGGGCAGCAACCUGCUGGUUUUAGCUUCUAAGAUAAGAGUGUAGAAUUAGAGUAAAACAAAAAGUUGAGUUACACGUUAGGAUGAAAGUUUAAAAGCACACAGAUGUUUUAUUGUCAUUUUUCAACCAUUUAUUCCUGAGAGAGAGUAUUUUUUAUAUAUAAAUUGUAUUUUGAUCAUACUCAACCCCAUAUUUCAGUUCCUCCCCUAUAUUCACUUUCUAUCCCCUCCCCUCUUACACCUUCCAAAUUAAGUUGUCUUCUGUUUUCUGACUAUAGAGUUCAGUUUGUGAUACCAAACUGCCCUGGAAUAUGGUAACACCAUUGAAGAAAACAUAUUUUCCCUCUUCCAGUGAUAGUUCUUCAGCGAGGGAUGCUAUUUUAUACCUAUCUUCUAUAGUCUAUGCUGUGAUUAUGUCUAGUUUGAAGCCUUUUUCAUGCCUUCACAAUCCCUGCAAAUUCACAUGAGCAACUCUUCUGUCCUGUGGGAGAAACACUUUUCCUUGAGGUCAUCUACCACCUAUGUGUCCCAUACAAACUUUGUCCCCCUACUGCCGAGUAAUACCUGAGCAUGGGGACAAAUGUGAACAUUUAAGUCACAUUUAGACUUAAUGGUUGGGAGAGUAUGUUUGAUCUAACAGCCAACUCAGACUGAGAGGAAUCUGAAUGGCUUGCUAGAGUCCUCGAUUUGGCUCCCAGCAACUGCUUUAAUGACUCCAAACCCCACGGUUAGUUACGAAAUUAUAUGAUGUGACAUAUAUGUAAAUAUCUCUAAUACAGAGAUGAUAGGUAAGUGGUUGAUAUAUAUGUAUAUAUAGUUGACUUUAAUGUAUUGUAAUGCAUUUCCCAGCCACUGAUUAAUUACAAAACAAAAGAUUGCAUGCUUUCAUAAACUAUGGGUAAUUAAGUAUAAAUUAAAAUACCACUUAGGAGACUGGAAAAUUACUUCCCCUGCCAAAAUCUUUUUGUGCGCUUCACUAAAAGAAAAUAAGCUUUUGAGUUUUUCUCUAUGGUGCUCUAGUAAUGGUGGCAUUAAUAAAAGGCUGUCAUUCCAUAGCAGGGAUUCUGGGAUAGAUCUGUGAUCUGAGAGCUACAGUGCAUUUUAGACAGCAUGAUAAACAGCAGAACUUUCAAAGAGUGUUUCUGUUCCCUGCGCCUCUGAUCUUCCUCUCCCGCUGGGAAUCCAGGGGAGAGGCUGAGGGAGGCUGGUGCACACCCAAGUUGUGGGAUGUGCAACCACAACCAGCGUUCUCACGAUUUUCCAGCCAUUGUAGCGCAGAAUUAUACACUUCUCUUCAAAUUCCUUCUUAACUCCACCCCAUCAGUAUCGCGGAUGGAGAGACAGACAGCCGACGUGUGGGUGCAGGGAUAUUUCACUUCAUCUCUCGGCCAAUGGGAUGCUUGUUUUAAGCUUCAAGCAUAGGAGUUUACUGUUCUUUCCUGCCCCUCCCCUCCCAUUGGUUUCCAGCUUUACAUUCUUAGGGAGCUCUGAUCAUACUCAGACAAAGUUCAUUUGUAUGUUAUCAGGUAUUCAGGCUGAUGAUCCAAUUCUCUUAUGAGUUUGGUAUAGUGUAUAUAAUUGUAAGAUAUAACUGUGGAUAACUGUAACAUAUAGCCAUGUGUAACUGUAACAUAACUGUGGAUAUCUGUAACAUAUAGCCAUGUGUAACUGUAACAUAGCUGUGGAUAACUAAGAUAUAGUUGUUACUCAGACCAUGUGCAUCUGCAGUUCUCCCAUUUUUUUCUCCUACAGAGGUAGAAAUUUUGCUUAAUUGUCAGAGCAUUGUUCUAAGCUUGUCCAUGUAUUCUAACGAGUCUACUAUGUUUCAUAUUGACUAACUUAAGGCGCCUCAGCCGGCCUUAUAUACAGGGUCAUUUAUGUCCUUGAUGAGCCAAUCCUUUGAUCAUAAAAUAACUGUCAUUUUUAUAUUAAGGGUUCUCCUCCAAAGUCCACCUUCCUGGGAUUAAUGUCAUGGAAGAUUCUUUCCUUUAAAACUUACCAUUUCUUAACUUUGAAAAUAUAUUUGAUUAUUGAUCUAAGGACAUAUCUCUUUAAAGUAUGGCAUAUUUCACCCAUCACCUCUGGUCUAUGUCACCCCAUGUUCUCAGUUUUCUCUCUCCAUACCUUUACUGAGGUGUAUUUGGAAUUCUCAAUCUACUCCCCCCAGCUUGUCUUAACUUCUGCUUCCUGCAUAAUUCCCCAACUUUAGCCCAUGUGACCCUGACACUCAGGUCAGCUUCCUAGCACUUAAUCCUCUUUUGUAAGGAUUCAAGUCUGCCAACUGUAGGCAUUCACAACUAGAUUUUGGUUUCAUUCCCUUCCUUAGAGAGAGAAUGUGUGCUUCAAGGUCUUAGGUGAACCCACUAGCACUUUUUGGCUUCUCUUUCACUAGAGUCUCCAUCUGUUGCCAGAUAACGGAGAUAACGGUCCAUCCUCUCAGAUUUUAGUAUAGGAUAGCACUAUUGUGGACUUCCAGUUACAAACCUAUGCUGCAUUUAUUCCUGGACCCCAAUAUCUAAACAUACUCUUAUUUUAAUUUUAGCCUUGGCAAAAUAUACAUAAAGUGUUUAUAAAUUAUCCGUCAUUUCUGUGGGUCUGGUUUCAAGGAAUUUUAUUUGCUGCCUAGUCCUUUAGCUUCCUGGAAUUUUACACAAAUGUCUCUGACUCACAUGGCAUGUUAAUACAGUCUCUGCAUGGG